GACGUAGGGCGCGAGCGUUGUCCGGAUUUAUUGGGCGUAAAGAGCUCGUAGGCGGCUUGUCGCGUCGACUGUGAAAACUCGGGGCUCAACUCCGAGCUUGCAGUCGAUACGGGCAGGCUAGAGUUCGGUAGGGGAGACUGGAAUUCCUGGUGUAGCGGUGAAAUGCGCAGAUAUCAGGAGGAACACCGAUGGCGAAGGCAGAUCUCUGGGCCGUAACUGACGCUGAGGAGCGAAAGCAUGGGGAGCGAACAGG
rnacentral:rRNA from 1 species